GACGAACGCUGGCGGCGUGCUUAACACAUGCAAGUCGAACGAAGAGCGAUGGAAGCUUGCUUCUAUCAAUCUUAGUGGCGAACGGGUGAGUAACGCGUAAUCAACCUGCCCUUCAGAGGGGGACAACAGUUGGAAACGACUGCUAAUACCGCAUACGAUCUAACCUCGGCAUCGAGGAUAGAUGAAAGGUGGCCUCUACAUGUAAGCUAUCACUGAAGGAGGGGAUUGCGUCUGAUUAGCUAGUUGGAGGGGUAACGGCCCACCAAGGCGAUGAUCAGUAGCCGGUCUGAGAGGAUGAACGGCCACAUUGGGACGGAGACACGGCCCAGACUCCUACGGGAGGCAGCAGUGGGGAAUCUUCCGCAAUGGACGAAAGUCUGACGGAGCAACGCCGCGUGAGUGAUGACGGCCUUCGGGUUGUAAAGCUCUGUUAAUCGGGACGAAAGGCCUUCUUGCGAAUAGUGAGAAGGAUUGACGGUACCGGAAUAGAAAGCCACGGCUAACUACGUG
rnacentral:rRNA from 1 species